GUUUCAGUUGGUAUUGUUUUUGUUUCAGUUGGACUUUGUUUCUUUUCAGUUGGACUUUGUUUUCUUUCAGUUGGACUUUCUUUUCUUUCAGUUAGACUUUCUUUUCUUUCAGUUAGACUUCCUUUUCUUUCAGUUAGACUUUCUUUUCUUUCAGUUGGACUUUCUUUUCUUUCAGUUGGACUUUCUUUUCUUUCAGUUGGACCAACUAAAAGAAAUAAUGGGCCAACUGAAAGAAAUAACGGACUAACUGAAACAAAAUGAAGACUACCUGAAGAAAAAUGUAGACUACCUGAAAAAGAAUAAAGAUCAACUGAAACCCAAGUAAGUCUAACUGAAGCACAAAAACCCACUGAAAAACAAAGAAGACUAACUGAAAACAAAAUGAAGACUACCUGAAAAAAAAUUGGAACCACCUGAAAAAAAAUGAAGACUACCUGAAAAAAAAAUGGAACCACCUGAAAGUCGUCCGACCAAGAUUAUGGUCGGACGAGUCCGACACAAUACGUUCUCUAAAAAAUAUAUACUAUUUUAUUGCUCAUUACCCAAUUGAAAUCAUCCAAAUAUAUUAAGAAGGAGGGUUUCAAUUGAACAAAAGAGCAAAAAGAUAUAAUUUUGUGUAUCAUGCACAUGUACAUCCAAGUAGGGAUGUCAAUGGGGCGGUGCAAAAUUGCAACUUUAUUUGUAAUUUCUUUAUUAAUCAUCUAAUUGUGCAUCUUUUCGAUUUUUUUUUUGGUUUAUGAUUGACAUAUUAAAUGAUCAAGUACUUACAUCAUUAUUUUAACGUCCCUUUCAAAAACUUUGGACCAAAAAAUUGUUUAUUUUUCGGUGUAGACCGAAAAUUAAAACAUUCAAAAAACUUGGACUUAAUCAGGGCCCUAAUAUGUAGGCUCACCCUUGGGCCUCCAAAAUCUCAGAAACGGAACUGGAUUUAUCAUAUGUAAGUGGAAAGCGGCAGAAACAUGCUAGGUGGAUUGCGCAUUUUAAUUCUGGAGAAGAAACUGUCCACUUUUCUAUCAAUAAGAAGUUUCGAGAUUUGCGUGUGAGAUAUUACAUCAAAUAUAUUUGUUGCGAUGAAGAUAUUGAAUACAUUGAUGCUAAUGGAAUUUUGUGGCACGGAAUAGUACAUGAUGAGUUAGAAGAGAGAUUGGUGGCCGCAUUUGGGACACCUCCUCGACUCAAAUUAUUUAGAAAGGAUAAUCGUACAUUCGUACAUGAAAUGGUGUUUACUUUUGAUAUUGAACAAGACGGGAUUUUAGUUGACCAAAUUGUAGUGUUGCCUAAUUAUCCAUAUUCAGGCUGGUUACAACAAUUGUGGCAAGCACACAUAUGUUUGACAAGUUCCUACAAUGAUUUACAUCUGAUUCGGUUGCAAUUACAUAUUUGGAUUUUAUGUAGUUAGAAAGACAGAUUUUGGGUAGUUAGAAAGACAUAUUAUUAGAAAGAUAGUUGUGGCUGAAAGAUUAUGUGGGAUCAAUAGGUUGUAAUUACAUGUUAUUAUGUAGUUAGAAACAGAUUUUAUGUAGUUAGAAAGACAGAUUUUAUGUAGUUAGAAAGACAUUUGUUUUUAUUCUGUUUUAUUAUAUUGUUUUGGAAUUUGUUCA